rnacentral:rRNA from 1 species
GAUGAACGCUGGCGGCGUGCCUUAUACAUGCAAGUCGAGCGAACAGACGAGGAGCUUGCUCCUCUGACGUUAGCGGCGGACGGGUGAGUAACACGUGGAUAACCUACCUAUAAGACUGGGGUAACUUCGGGAAACCGGAGCUAAUACCGGAUAAUAUAUUGAACCGCAUGGUUCAAUAGUGAAAGACGGUUUUGCUGUCACUUAUAGAUGGAUCCGCGCCGCAUUAGCUAGUUGGUAAGGUAACGGCUUACCAAGGCAACGAUGCGUAGCCGACCUGAGAGGGUGAUCGGCCACACUGGAACUGCGACACGGUCCAGACUCCUACGGGAGGCAGCAGUAGGGAAUCUUCCGCAAUGGGCGAAAGCCUGACGGAGCAACGCCGCGUGAGUGAUGAAGGUCUUCGGAUCGUAAAACUCUGUUAUUAGGGAAGAACAAAUGUGUAAGUAACUAUGCACGUCUUGACGGUACCUAAUCAGAAAGCCACGGCUAACUACGUG